rnacentral:rRNA from 1 species
UCCGUAGGCGGUGUGGCAAGUCGGUAGUGAAAUCUCUCGGCUUAACUGAGAGGCUGCUGCCGAAACUGCCAUGCUCGAGUGCGAGAGAGGCGAGUGGAAUUGCGGGUGUAGCGGUGAAAUGCGUAGAUAUCCGCAGGAACAUCCGAGGCGAAAGCGGCCCGCUGGAUCGCAACUGACGCUGAGGGACGAAAGCUAGGGGAGCAAACAGGAUUAGAUACCCUGGUAGUCCUAGCCCUAAACCAUCAGGACUUGGGGUUUGCCCUGUACGGGGCAAGUCCCGGAGCUAACGCGUUAAGUCCUGCGCCUGGGGAGUACGGUCGCAAGGCUGAA